rnacentral:rRNA from 1 species
AACGUAGGAGACAAACGUUAUCCGGAGUUACUGGGCGUAAAGGGCGUGUAGGCGGUUUGUUAAGUCUGGCGUGAAAGCUCUCGGCUAAACCGGGAGAGGUCGUUGGAUACUGGCAAACUUGAGGACGGUAGAGGCGUGUGGAAUUCCGGGUGUAGUGGUGAAAUGCGUAGAGAUCCGGAGGAACACCAGUGGCGAAGGCGGCUCACUGGCCCGAUACUGACGCUGAGGCACGAAAGCGUGGGGAGCAAACAGG